UUAACACCCAUGAAGAAUGAAGUCUUCUUCCACAAGACCAGUUUAGCACAGGCAGUAGCAGUGGGAGCUCCCCCACACACACGCCCUUUGUCCCACCAAUGUCUGAAAUCUGAGCUGGAAGGAGCAGUGUAGUCCACCCGCACUUAUCCUUGGCUUUU
rnacentral:sRNA from 1 species